rfam:Hordeum vulgare subsp. vulgare, WGS project CAJW01000000 data, contig: morex_contig_1192095
GCCUUGAUGGUGAAAUGGUAGACACGCGAGAGUCAAAAUCUCGUGCUGAAGAGCGUGGAGGUUCGAGUCCUCUUCAAGGCA